CCCUUAGAUGUUCUGGGCUGCACGCGCGCUACACUGAAGCGUUCAACGAGUAUUCACCUUGCCCGGGAGGGUUGGGUAAUCUUUUGAAAACGCUUCGUGAUGGGGAUAGAUUAUUGCAAUUAUUAAUCUUCAACGAGGAAUUCCUAGUAAGUGCAAGUCAUCAACUUGCGCUGAUUACGUCCCUGCCCUUUGUACACACCGCCCGUCGCUCCUACCGAUUGAGUAUACCGGUGAAUUAUUCGGAUUCCAGUUUUGGGUGGCAACACUUGAAGCAGGGAGAAGAUUUGUAAGCCAUGAUACUUAGAGGAAGGAGAAGUCGUAACA
rnacentral:rRNA from 1 species